rnacentral:rRNA from 1 species
UACCAGCACCCCGAGUGGUCGGGACGUUUUAUUGGGCCUAAAGCAUCCGUAGCCGGUUCUACAAGUCUUCCGUUAAAUCCACCUGCUUAACAGAUGGGCUGCGGAAGAUACUAUGGAGCUAGGAGGCGGGAGAGGCAAGCGGUACUCGAUGGGUAGGGGUAAAAUCCGUUGAUCCAUUGAAGACCACCAGUGGCGAAGGCGGCUUGCCAGAACGCGCUCGACGGUGAGGGAUGAAAGCUGGGGGAGCAACCGG